rnacentral:misc_RNA from 1 species
UCAAGCUUUCUUGCUUGGUGUUGGGGGAGCUCGCCCCAGUUUUGGGGCGCCCCCGAAAAUCAGCGGCGGUGCAGCCGAUAGUCUCUAGCGCAGUGACAUAACUUUCUCGCUACGGAUUUUCGGGGCAAACACCACGCCGAAAACUCUUAUAUCUUUAGUAAAUUGACCUCGGAUCAGGUAGGAAUACCCGCUGAACUUAA